rnacentral:piRNA from 1 species
UGCCUAGUCCUUAACAGUCACAUGACCACA